rnacentral:rRNA from 1 species
UACGUAGGGUGCAAGCGUUAAUCGGAAUUACUGGGCGUAAAGCGUGCGCAGGCGGUUUUGUAAGUCUGUCGUGAAAUCCCCGGGCUUAACCUGGGAAUUGCGAUGGAGACUGCAAGGCUAGAAUCUGGCAGAGGGGGGUAGAAUUCCACGUGUAGCAGUGAAAUGCGUAGAGAUGUGGAGGAACACCGAUGGCGAAGGCAGCCCCCUGGGUCAAGAUUGGCGCUCAUGCACGAAAGCGUGGGGAGCAAACAGG